UAGGGCGUUUAGUAUUUGGUCGUAGACCCGAAACCAGGUGAUCUACCCUUGGUCAGGUUGAAGUUCAGGUAACACUGAAUGGAGGACCGAACCGACUUACGUUGAAAAGUGAGCGGAUGAACUGAGGGUAGCGGAGAAAUUCCAAUCGAACCUGGAGAUAGCUGGUUCUCUCCGAAAUAGCUUUAGGGCUAGCCUCAAGUGAUGAUUAUUGGAGGUAGAGCACUGUUUGGACGAGGGGCCCCUCUCGGGUUACCGAAUUCAGACAAACUCCGAAUGCCAAUUAAUUUAACUUGGGAGUCAGAACAUGGGUGAUAAGGUCCGUGUUCGAAAGGGAAACAGCCCAGACCACCAGCUAAGGUCCCAAAAUAUAUGUUAAGUGGAAAAGGAUGUGGCGUUGCCCAGACAACUAGGAUGUUGGCUUAGAAGCAGCCAUCAUUUAAAGAGUGCGUAAUAGCUCACUAGUCGAGUGACACUGCGCCGAAAAUGUACCGGGGCUAAACAUAUUACCGAAGCUGUGGAUUGUCCUUUGGACAAUGGUAGGAGAGCGUUCUAAGGGCGUUGAAGCAUGAUCGUAAGGACAUGUGGAGCGCUUAGAAGUGAGAAUGCCGGUGUGAGUAGCGAAAGACGGGUGAGAAUCCCGUCCACCGAUUGACUAAGGUUUCCAGAGGAAGGCUCGUCCGCUCUGGGUUAGUCGGGUCCUAAGCUGAGGCCGACAGGCGUAGGCGAUGGAUAACAGGUUGAUAUUCCUGUACCACCUAUAAUCGUUUUAAUCGAUGGGGGGACGCAGUAGGAUAGGCGAAGCGUGCGAUUGGAUUGCACGUCUAAGCAGUAAG
rnacentral:rRNA from 1 species